AACCCCCAGCUAGGCUGGGGGUUCCGUAAAGCUUCCAGCUUUGGGGCGGAUAUAAAAACCCCUUUUGAUUUGUUAAAACACCUUGCGGUCUGGCAACUGCAAUGGUCAAACAAGAAAUCAAAAG
rfam:Dickeya dadantii 3937, complete genome.